UCUAGUAAGAGUGGCAGUUGAA
rnacentral:miRNA from 1 species